UGAGCUCAUAAUGGCUUCACACUCUAAUCCCUAUGGAGAUGAACACACAAGGGAUGUGAACGUGGUUAAAACAUCUGCUUUUGGAUCCGAGUAACUCUUCUUGGAAAGCAUUUUCUGAGGUGCAGUGAGUCCUUCCAGAUUAACCCCUGAGUGUCUACCAUCACAUAGGCCACAAGCAGAAAUAGGCACCCAGAAGCAACAGUGUUCGUCUGAAGAACUGGCAGCCUUACCGAACCCUACGGGCAGAGAGAUCCUCCAGCUGCAGUCCAUGUUACUGGGGUAGUUUCCUGGGAACCCAGGACUCAAGAUCACUCCUUCCAUCUCUUCUGCGGUCCCACCGCAUAGGGCUGUAAGAUUGACAAGGGCCUGAUGUUAAUGGAAAGGAUCUGCGGAAAGGUCACUUACCAUUUACACAGGGAGACAGCCGCAGCCAUCCAUUUAUUUCAUGGAAAAGAAAAGAAAAAUUCCCCAUGGAACUAAUGAGAUAUUUGCCAAGCAUCACUCCGAUCACCUCACUAGUAUGUUGCAUGUUUUUCCUGCACUCUGUGUCUGACCUAUUAAAGCUCUUAUCCUGUGACUGGAUCCAUACCUCUGAGCAGCUCUGGCCACAGCACUGGGACCUUAGGUUGUAAGGUGUUAGAAGCAGGGGGCAUCUGUUACCAUGUGUAUGUGCAGUAUCAAGCCCAAUGGGGCCUGCGGGCGGUAACUAUUUCAUUUUCUUAAAUAAGGCACAAAAUACAGCUAAGAAAUCUGUCUGUCUAGCCCCUUACGUUGAUUCUGAGUGCCUCCAUUUGAUCCAAAUCAAGGCGGAACAGUUGGUAUGAUAUUUAGCUAACUCUGGACACUUAUAAAUACAGAACAAUGCGUAUAUGCAGUUGGCUCAAAUGCAACCUCUACAAAGGCCAGUGCACAAACAUCAAAACAAACAAGAUGUUUACAAAAGACGACAGAUUAAAUUUCAACUCAGGACACCAUCUUAUCUGACUGACCUCUGCGUUACUCUUGUCAUACAUUCCAGCAGAAGACAUGCACUCAUAUCCCUAAUCCAAUCUGACACGGAAGGUACAGAUUUCUCUUUGUCCAGCAUAUCACUAUGCAUGCUCACAUCUGACAAUGCUUCUCUUGUAAGAUCCCUCCCCUGGCUUGAUGUCUGCUUAACAUAACUGCUCUUAAAUUAUGUAAAAGGAAAACAUCUGGAUUAAAUAAACUGAAAGAAGCCA